AUGAAAACCAAUGCCGUUUUUCUAUUUCAGAUGAAUCGGUUUAAACUAUCGAUCGUACUCCUGCUCUUGAGCACGGUGGCCAUUGCGCUGGCCAAUGAGGCCAACGAAGAAGCCUUGAAGGACGCAGAUUCAGACUCCACUCACACGGGUGCCGAGCCUCAGAAGCGCUCCCUCAAGAAGUUCAAAAAGCUCAAAAAGCUGGCACUUCUCAAGAAAAAAGGCCCUUGGUUCCUCCCACAGUUCGAGGUCGAAGAGGUCAAAGAAACCUCACCUCUCCCCGUUUUUAAAGUACACAAAUACGCUGGGAUCGAAGUCAAGCCUAUCCCCACCACCCCGCCACCACCACCCCCACCGCCCGCAGUCUACGGACCACCAUCGCCACCACCAACCGUCUACGGACCGCCCGAAACCGCCGCAGCAGCCGUAGCUACUUCCGAAGGCAAAGGAAACCCCGACCUGGCAAUCCUCGACUCCCUGGGGCCCCUCGUCUCCGGUGAAGGCGGCGUGGAUCUAUCCGCUCUUUUGAGCAUCGCUGGCAGCGGUGAAAUCCCGUUGGAGGCUAUUGAAACCCUCUCCCAAAUCGCCAAGACCAACCCCAAACUCGUGGCCAGCAUCGUAAACGGACUGAAGAAUCCCAAGGUCAAGAAGGCUGGCAUCAUCGCUGCUUUGCUGAAGCUCAAGGCCAAGAAGAAGCUCCUGAAGAAGAAGAAGCUGAAACUGUUGGCCAAGGGAGUCGCCGCUAAGGCCGCCAUCACCAAGAAGAAGCUUUUCGCCCCCUUCGCUUUUGUGGCUGCUGAGGGCGCUAAGGUCGCAUCCGCGGUCUCCUCCAUACCCUCCAACAUCGCCGGCUACAUCUGGCCUGAAGAAGAAACCGGACCCUACGAGGCCGAGCUCCCCAUCCCUUUAGAAGAAGUUUCACCCCUUUUCUCCCUUGAAGCCCUAUCAACCCUCCCCGGUCUCCCGCUCCUGAAAUUCCCCGGCAAAUACAAGCUCAAGAAGCACCACCCUUACGUCAGCGUUAAGCUCCCAACCACCCAUCAACCCGCACCUCCCCCACCACCACCUACACCAGCGCCCGUCUACGGACCUCCACCGCCAGCAGAGCCCGUCCCCGUCUAUGGUCCCCCUCCACCACCACCACCACCACCACCACCUCCACCACCAGCACCACCCGUAGAUGUUUACGGUCCACCCCAAGCCCCAGCAGCCACCUAUGGCGUGCCCUCUGCCCUUGCCCCCGGUACCCACCUCGAACCCCCUCCACUACCCUUGGAUACCCCCAGACAAGUAGCAGCCGCCGCUGCAGUUGACUCCUUCCAAGUUCCGAUCGCCGUGUACGCCCAAGGCCAGCGCCUUAUCACCCCGGCCGGCACGACGCUGACCGCACCUGCUUACUACAACGUCGACUCAUUCUUGGCAGCCUCGGAGAACGACGAGGUGGAGGCAGAAGGUGACGAAGGCCACGAGGAGGUUGAAGAGAUCGAGCACGCGGUGGCACGAGGAAACCACAGCGAGCACGCCGAACAUGGAAAGCAGACAGCCCAUUCUCUGCCAUCCCACAAUGUCCAUCAUGUCCAGGCUGAGCGUGAACACCAUGCUCACCACGCUGAACACGUACAUGAAGCUGCUGUCCACGCCGAGCAUGAACACGUGCAAAAUGCCAGAGUGACUAAUCAGAUGAGGAGGUCGCCGCCUCCGGCCGAGCAGAAGCACGAACAGCAGCCAGAGCAGUUUGUGCGAGGAGAAGUUUUCGUCGUUCCUCUUAACCACGCUAUGGAGGACACACAUCAACAGGAGCAUGCCAGUGAAGAAUCAAAUUCUGCAUCUCAUUAA
rnacentral:lncRNA from 1 species